UGGGGAAUUUUGGGACAAUGGGGGGAAACCCCUGAUCCAGCCAUCCCCGCGUGUGNGAUGAAGGCCUUCGGGUUGUAAAGCACUUUUGGCAGGAAAGAAACGUCGCGGGUUAAUACCCCGCGAAACUGACGGUACCUGCAGAAUAAGCACCGGCUAACUACGUGCCAGCAGCCGCGGUAAUACGUAGGGUGCAAGCAUUAAUCGGAAUUACUGGGCGUAAAGCGUGCGCAGGCGGUUCGGAAAGAAAGAUGUGAAAUCCCAGAGCUUAACUUUGGAACUGCAUUUUUAACUACCGGGCUAGAGUGUGUCAGAGGGAGGUGGAAUUCCGCGUGUAGCAUGAAAUGCGUAGAUAUGCGGAGGAACACCGAUGGCGAAGGCAGCCUCCUGGGAUAACACUGACGCUCAUGCACGAAAGCGUGGGGAGCAACAGGAUUAGAUACCCUGGUAGUCCACGCCCUAAACGAUGUCAACUAGCCUGUUGGGGCCUUCGGGCCUUGGUAGGCGCAGCUAACGCGUGAAGUUGACCGCCUGGGGAGUA
rnacentral:rRNA from 1 species